rnacentral:rRNA from 1 species
UACGUAGGGGGCAAGCGUUGUCCGGAUUUAUUGGGCGUAAAGAGCGUGUAGGCGGCCAGGUAAGUCUGCUGUGAAAACUCGAGGCUUAACCUCGAGCUGUCGGCGGAAACCAUCUGGCUAGAGUCCGGAAGAGGAGAAUGGAAUUCCCGGUGUAGCGGUGAAAUGCGCAGAUAUCGGGAAGAACACCCGUGGCGAAGGCGGUUCUCUGGGACGGUACUGACGCUGAGACGCGAAAGCGUGGGGAGCGAACAGG